UUGACGCUGCGAGGCUCGAAUAGCAUUACACAUCUCCAGGGCCAAUAAUAUAAGAACGGGAGCCGUCACUGAUGUAUUCUUGGAUACACUAUAUGGUGCCCACCUAGACCUGUCGGCCUAGGAGGAUUAGAUGUAAAACGACCGACGCGGCGUCAAC
rnacentral:other from 1 species